rnacentral:rRNA from 1 species
GAUGAACGCUGGCGGCAGGCUUAAUACAUGCAAGUCGAACGGUAACAUGUCGGAGCAAUCUGAUGAUGACGAGUGGCGCACGGGUGCGUAACGCGUAUGCAACCUACCCAUAACCGGAACAUAACGUUGAGAAAUCGGCGCUAAUAUUCCAUGUGUAUAUUUUGUGGCAUCAUAGGAUAUAUAAAGAUUAAUUGGUUAUGGAUGGGCAUGCGUAUCAUUAGCUAGUUGGUAGGGUAACGGCCUACCAAGGCUGCGAUGAUUAGGGGUUCUGAGAGGAUACCCCCCCACACUGGAACUGAGACACGGUCCAGACUCCUACGGGAGGCAGCAGUAGGGAAUAUUGGGCAAUGGAGGCAACUCUGACCCAGCCAUGCCGCGUGAAGGAAGACGGUCCUAUGGAUUGUAAACUUCUUUUAUCAUAGAGUAACCGCAGGGACGUGUCCCUGCCUGCAAGUAUAUGAUGAAUAAGC